rnacentral:rRNA from 2 species
UAGGUGACCUGCGGAGGGAUCAUUA